UACAGAGGUCUCGAGCGUUAGGCGGAAUCACUGGGCUUAAAGCGUGUGUAGGUGGAUCGUUAAGUACCUUGUGAAAUCCCACGGCUUAACCGUGGAACUGCUUGGUAUACUGGCGGUCUUGAGCCACUUAGGGGCUACCGGAACAAAUGGUGGAGCGGUGAAAUGCGUAGAUAUCAUUUGGAACGCCAAUGGUGAAAACAGGUAGCUGGGAGUGUGAUGACACUGAGAAACGAAAGCCAGGGGAGCAAACGGG
rnacentral:rRNA from 1 species